UACGUAGGGUGCAAGCGUUAUCCGGAAUUAUUGGGGCGUAAAGAGCUCGUAGGUGGCCUGUCGCGUCGGCUGUGAAAACUCGGGGCUCAACUCCGAGCUUGCAGUCGAUACGGGCAGGCUAGAGUUCGGCAGGGGAGACUGGAAUUCCUGGUGUAGCGGUGAAAUGCGCAGAUAUCAGGAGGAACACCAAUGGCGAAGGCAGCUCGCUGGGACGGUACUGAUGCUGAGGAGCGAAAGCGUGGGGAGCAAACAGG
rnacentral:rRNA from 1 species